rnacentral:rRNA from 1 species
GAUGAACGCUGGCGGCGUGCCUAAUACAUGCAAGUCGAGCGAACGGACGAGAAGCUUGCUUCUCUGAUGUUAGCGGCGGACGGGUGAGUAACACGUGGAUAACCUACCUAUAAGACUGGGAUAACUUCGGGAAACCGGAGCUAAUACCGGAUAAUAUUUUGAACCGCAUGGUUCAAAAGUGAAAGACGGUCUUGCUGUCACUUAUAGAUGGAUCCGCGCUGCAUUAGCUAGUUGGUAAGGUAACGGCUUACCAAGGCAACGAUGCAUAGCCGACCUGAGAGGGUGAUCGGCCACACUGGAACUGAGACACGGUCCAGACUCCUACGGGAGGCAGCAGUAGGGAAUCUUCCGCAAUGGGCGAAAGCCUGACGGAGCAACGCCGCGUGAGUGAUGAAGGUCUUCGGAUCGUAAAACUCUGUUAUUAGGGAAGAACAUAUGUGUAAGUAACUGUGCACAUCUUGACGGUACCUAAUCAGAAAGCCACGGCUAACUACGUGCCAGCAGCCGCGGUAAUACGUAGGUGGCAAGCGUUAUCCGGAAUUAUUGGGCGUAAAGCGCGCGUAGGCGGUUUUUUAAGUCUGAUGUGAAAGCCCACGGCUCAACCGUGGAGGGUCAUUGGAAACUGGAAAACUUGAGUGCAGAAGAGGAAAGUGGAAUUCCAUGUGUAGCGGUGAAAUGCGCAGAGAUAUGGAGGAACACCAGUGGCGAAGGCGACUUUCUGGUCUGUAACUGACGCCGAUGUGCGAAAGCGUGGGGAUCGAACAGGAUUAGAUACCCUGGUAGUCCACGCCGUAAACGAUGAGUGCUAAGUGUUAGGGGGUUUCCGCCCCUUAGUGCUGCAGCUAACGCAUUAAGCACUCCGCCUGGGGAGUACGACCGCAAGGUUGAAACUCAAAGGAAUUGACGGGGACCCGCACAAGCGGUGGAGCAUGUGGUUUAAUUCGAAGCAACGCGAAGAACCUUACCAAAUCUUGACAUCCUUUGACAACUCUAGAGAUAGAGCCUUCCCCUUCGGGGGACAAAGUGACAGGUGGUGCAUGGUUGUCGUCAGCUCGUGUCGUGAGAUGUUGGGUUAAGUCCCGCAACGAGCGCAACCCUUAAGCUUAGUUGCCAUCAUUAAGUUGGGCACUCUAAGUUGACUGCCGGUGACAAACCGGAGGAAGGUGGGGAUGACGUCAAAUCAUCAUGCCCCUUAUGAUUUGGGCUACACACGUGCUACAAUGGACAAUACAAAGGGCAGCGAAACCGCGAGGUCAAGCAAAUCCCAUAAAGUUGUUCUCAGUUCGGAUUGUAGUCUGCAACUCGACUACAUGAAGCUGGAAUCGCUAGUAAUCGUAGAUCAGCAUGCUACGGUGAAUACGUUCCCGGGUCU